rnacentral:lncRNA from 1 species
UGACUCUAUUGCUGAGAAGCAGAAAGACGUGGAUAGGAAAAUCCAGAGGGAGCAAGAAAAGCAGAGAAUUGCCCAGCGCUAUCAUCCCAGCAGUGGAGACUGUCAAAGUGUAGGACCAGAAGACGACUUUGAAGCUUCCUUAAGAAAUAUAAAGUCACAGUAUGAAGUUUUUCGAAGUAGUAGACUCUCAUCUGAUGCCACAGUGUUGACACCAAAUACGGAAAGCAGCUGUGACCUAAUGACCAAAACCAAAUCAACCAGUGGGAAUGACGACAGCACCUCCUUAGACCUGGAGUGGGAAGAUGAAGAAGGAAUGAAUAGGAUGCUGCCCAUGAGAGAGCGCUCCAAGACAGAGGAAGACAUCCUGCGG